UUCAGGCCUAAUAUCAUUUAAACGGCUGAGUUAUUUAUCUGUAGGGAUGAACUCACUUGUGGAGCUUUUGUGUGUGGCACUGACUCGCUAAUCACCGCCAAGCUUGCAAGCACAAAAAGGAAUCUCAGGAAUUGUUUGAUUGGAGAAGUUUCAAUAUUCAUACCUGCAAACUCAUGAGGGGUGAAAAAAGUGACCACAAAUCUAAAUAAUAUUAAUAAACAGUUUAAGAACAAAAGGUCCUCCGCUCUGACUCAGCCCUAUAAUAAUAGUAAUAACAAAUAUACAUUGUCAUUAUAUAUAAUAUGGUUAAAGGACUCAUGGGCUGUGUCUACUACCGCGCACUUGAGCACUUCGAGCACUGACUUUCAGUGUUCGAAGUGCGCCACUGAAAAAACCAGCAGAAUUCAGUGCACUGAAAGUACCCGGAUGGUGCACUGCAAACGGGCAAAACAUGUAGUGUAAAACGAUGGACACUACUCGCCCUAAGCGGCCGCCAUCUUGGCCACGUAGCGGAAGAGGAGGAGCCCUUUCGCCAGCUUUUCAUUUUAUUUCUAAAACAAUGGCGGACAGCACAAGCGGUAGACCACGAAGCUACAGACCGUAAAUAGACGUUUCCUGGAGGUGCUGGUGCUGGUCCUCUGCUGCCCUCCCGACAUCUGCAUCUGGCGCCAAUGACCUCUGGCACCUCACAUCCACCUCCAGGGCCUUUAAGAAGAUGGACCGCCAUCAAUAGCCCCCACCCCUCUGCUGAAGGCUGCCGACCCAGCUAGACGGGCAAAGCGGGCACCUAGGCGUGGGAGUUCCUCUCAUGUAGGGUGGCGGACAACGGUGGACAGGAGCGCAGCGAUCUGCCCACUCAUCCUGUGCACCAGCCGGUGACCGGUGGCCCGGGGCCUGUCGAAGGCCCUGGCCACCACCCGAUAGGAGGUGGCGCUGGCAAGCCAAAAAAUAAAAACUAGACAGGAGAUCUCGGGCCCCAACCGUGGUCACAGUCAGUGCCCAGCACAGCCAUGAGGGCGUUGAAUGACUCGGUGAGCCUGAAGUCCACCCUCAUGUCACUGUGGCCAUCACAACACAACGCCAGCAGUGGCAUUGCAGCAUUGAUACGGCAGCGCCGCCUGGGACUGGGUGGCUGCUGUAGAGUGUGUGGGGAGGGGAGGGGAAGAUUAUAUUAAUAUGUAAGUCAUUUUAUCAAUAAAAUGUUGUCAUUGA